UGAAAGGAUAUGACCUAAACUAUAAAAUGCACUUAUUAGAGUUGUAUGAUAAAUCAGGGAAGGACUCGCUCGCCUCCUCUGAAGGAACUGCAUGCAGCUGGACAGGGAAUCGAGCGGGCAGAUUGAUUUCUGGUGUGCAGCACGCUCCCAGCCAGGGUGAGGAAUUAGCACAGGUCAAAUUGCUCACAAACCUCUGUCAAGGAAUAUAUAUAAGCCUUGCCUGAAUGUCAGGCUGGAGGAAAGAAAACCAGAGCUCUGUGGUCCUGCUAUGUCCCAGCACGGGUGAUUUCAUCGGUUAUAUCACUCUCCUCGCUCCUGAAUCUGGAUGCUGAGUUUUUGGCCACGUAAUGGGUCCCCAGCAAGAUGCCCUGCUGCGGAGUUAGGUACCCCAGCCCCAAAAAGUCAAGUGCCCUAUCCAGCAGCCCUGUAACAAUUUGCCAUGAAAACACAGCACAUCCUCCAGCCACAAAGUCUCCGGGCACAAGGUCUGUUGUUCUCCACGACUGGGUCUGGCUCCGUGACCGGGGCACGAAGCUACGACCAUAAAAUGAAUAACAACACGCUGCAUUCAAUCGUCAUCGUUGGGGGGCUCAAUGCUCCUGCACACGGACGCAAUACCACGAGUGCCCCCGCGACUGAAGGCCAAGAAAUGACUGAUCGUGCCACCCGUGAUGGCCAGAAGUGUGCCAAGGGAAGAAGAUGGCCUCUGGAUGGCGCAGCUCCCAGUGGACUGCCACAUGAGUGUCCCUGCAGUUUUGGGAAGCAACUCCUUGAUUUUGGGGUCUGGCAGGGCUGAAGGUGCUGGGGACCAAAGAAAAGCACCCAAAGCAGUGAGAGACUGUGUCGCUGAUACCUUCUGCUUCUCACGGAGCUGCCAGUUAAUCCAAAGUGCAAAACAUCUAGCCAAAGGUGAGAUGACUCCACACAGCGCAAAGAAAUGAUGCAAUCACCCCUUUCCUGCAGUCUGCCUUCUUCGAAAUUACUUUAAGUCUUGUAAAGAAAAGCCUUCCAGGUCCUCUAUGAGCUAUAAACCUCAGGAACUGUCUGGCUUCAUUUCUGCAUAACUGCGAGGAGCUCCGCAUCAGGUCUUCCAGGGUAAUGGGAGAAGGCAAUGCGAGGAAAACACAAUGGGAAAGGCUGAUGUAAACAUAGCUGUAUCUUCCUGCACGUCUCUAUAGUUAACACUCUCGUUAAUUAUCUCGGUAUCCAAGGGCUUAUGAAUUCAAACUAUUAUUUCCUUUGUGUACAUUUCUUGGGAGGAGGGCAGCGACUAAUUGAUGCAGGCUCGCAGGGGGGUGAGUCCAUGAGAGCAGCUACUGCAGUGAGGAUGGACAGAGCAGUGACCUUCAGCACUGGGAUCUGUUUCAGCCAGAAAUCUGGGUCAUUUUCACCCUUUUUUUUGAGAGUGGGAAUAUGCUAGAUUUGGUUUUGAGAAAGGGAUGUCAUGGGUCCCCUGGUAGCCUUCAGAAAUGCCUUUUCCAUCCAAGACAUCUGCGUAUGUCCGAGAGCUGAAGCGUGGCUGUCUGCUUGACCUAUUUUUCUAUUUUUGACCUAUUUUGCUACUUUUCUCACCCGAGUCACGUGCCGCUCUGCUCACACUGGGUGUGAGACGCAUCGCGAGCCACUGCACAGAGUCAGGACUGCGCCGUGCUGCAAACACCCCCGGCGUGCUUCUCCCCACGUUCCCCCCAUUAUAAUUAAAACACAGGGCUUGAUUGCAUCCUGGUAACACGUGGCACUCUCGCAGCCUGCUCGUGGUGGUGAACAAGAGAGCUGCGGGUCGUUUCUCCUGCCAGGCUGGAGAAAAAGCAGCCUGGCUGCCUCUCCCUGCGGUACAGCAUGCGCAUCAGCAGGCUGCUGGAUGAUGGCGGUGAUGAUGACAAUGAUUAUUUUGAUUAUUGCUGUUAUUAUCAGUGCUGUUAUUGCUAUUGCUAUCAAUUAUAGUGUUCCCGACCUCGAGACGGGGUGCACCCGAGGUGAGCCUGAGCACAAAGGGGCUGCAGCAGCGCUGAGCAGAUGCUGGGGCUGGGGAGGACGCGUGGGGCUGUGGCUUUGCCUUGGAGCCACGGGACAGUGCCGUGCCUCAGAGUAUGAUGGAUGAGCCCUGGCUGCAGGGUGCUGGCCUUUGGUGAUGCCCUGAGUGUGACAUUUCAGGGUGACUUGCUCCAUUUUCCUAUUUUGAAUAUGUCCCCAUGUUCAGCCCUGGUCUGGCCCACAUUUAAUUUUUAAGGUGAUGCUGCAGCAAAGGCAUCUCUUUAGAUACUCCCCGAUCCCAGCCAUGCCCCAGGGAUGGGCAUUUCCUGACCCAAAAUUCCAGGUUGUGGUGAACCUGUGCAGUGUGGCUUUGUCAUUAUUUGAUGUGCAUGAAGAGCAAGGGCUGUGAGUGAGGACUGCAUUGCCUUCACGUCGUGCAUCCUGCCGGGACAUGACAGAGCAUCUGAGAAGACUCUCUUUAAUUAAAACGCCAGCAACUGGAAUUUCUGGAGAAACAUCAGAGGUCCUUGCAAAUAAAUUCUCCCGGUAUCCCAUGUUUCACACUCUCAAACCUUUUGCAUGUUGUUUAUUUUUUCUGGUUAACCUUUUGUUUAGUCCAUGUAAUUUUGGAGCUGAUUUCAGGGGAAUACUUAUGGGCCAAGCGUGUUCGUAGUUAUGACUGGCUUACUUACAAAUUACCCUUUAAUCAACAGAUUUAAUAUUAAUUAAUAAUUCAUAGGCUGCUCGUAGGAUAAAAUUGCAUAAUAAUGUCUUUGAUGCAGCCCAAAGUGUCCAUUGUAGAUGGCAUAAAAUGUUAAUUAGCAGCAAAAUGCAGUUAGGAGAAAACUCUUUUAAUUAUGUAAUAGGCCUCAUUACAAUGGGUAAUCAACAAUGCUUCCAAAUUAGCCCACUGGCAGCAUUUAUCUAUAUAUAGCAAAUAAACUUUUGUUUGCAGAAAAUGCAUUUGAA